rnacentral:rRNA from 1 species
CACUCCUCCGGGAGGCAGCAGUGGGGAAUAUUGGACCAUGGGCGCAAGCCUGAUCCAGCCAUGCCGCGUGAGUGAUGAAGGCCCUAGGGUUGUAAAGCUCUUUCACCGGUGAAGAUAAUGACGGUAACCGGAGAAGAAGCCCCGGCUAACUUCGUGCCAGCAGCCGCGGUAAUACGAAGGGGGCUAGCGUUGUUCGGAUUUACUGGGCGUAAAGCGCACGUAGGCGGACUAUUAAGUCAGGGGUGAAAUCCCGGGGCUCAACCCCGGAACUGCCUUUGAUACUGGUAGUCUUGAGGUCGAGAGAGGUGAGUGGAAUUCCGAGUGUAGAGGUGAAAUUCGUAGAUAUUCGGAGGAACACCAGUGGCGAAGGCGGCUCACUGGCUCGAUACUGACGCUGAGGUGCGAAAGCGUGGGGAGCAAACAGGAUUAGAAACCCCUGUAGUCCCA